rnacentral:rRNA from 1 species
GAUGAACGCUAGCUACAGGCUUAACACAUGCAAGUCGCGGGGUAACAUCUGGGAGAGCUUGCUCUUCCAGGAUGACGACCGGCGCACGGGUGAGUAACGCGUAUCCAACCUGCCCAUCACUUGGGGAUAACCUUGCGAAAGUAAGACUAAUACCCAAUGACGUCUCUAGAAGACAUCUGAAAGAGAUUAAAGAUUUAUCGGUGAUGGAUGGGGAUGCGUCUGAUUAGCUUGUUGGCGGGGUAACGGCCCACCAAGGCGACGAUCAGUAGGGGUUCUGAGAGGAAGGUCCCCCACACUGGUACUGAGACACGGACCAGACUCCUACGGGAGGCAGCAGUGAGGAAUAUUGGUCAAUGGGCGCAGGCCUGAACCAGCCAAGUCGCGUGAGGGAAGACGGCCCUAUGGGUUGUAAACUGCUUUAUAAGGGAAUAAAGUGGGUCACGUGUGACUUUUUGCAUGUACCUUAUGAAUAAGGACCGGNUAAUCCGUGCCAGCAGCCGACGG